GGCACUCUGUGCAUCCCCAGAAGCAAACCCUACACCCUCUCGCCUUCCAGGGCAUCACAGUCCAAGUGCCACAGACCUCUGGGAGCAGUUAUGGGUCUUGAGGAAUGAAAUUCCUCAAAUUCCUGCCUUAAAUUCCUACCUUGGCAGUUAGCCUGAUUGUAGAUUUGGCAGGCAAAUAGUCCUGUUCGUGUUCCCACUCUUUUGAACUAUUAAUGCAGAUUGUAAAGAUUUUUUUUUUCUAUCUUGCUUUAAGAUGCCAAAGUUCAGUUGUAAAAUGAAAGAGCCCAGAAUAGAGAGAAAGACAUUGCUCUGUUGUCAAGCAUAACCUCACCUCUCAAGCAUUUGAAAGCCUGAAGGGCUUGGAGUUAAAAUGAAGAAGGGCGUCUAACAUUCACAGAAACAUAUAUUUCCUCCCUCAUUCUUUUAUUUACUUUGGUAAAAGUAUACAGAAACAAGACAAAUAUGUUGAAACUAAUCAUGUGGAACUGAUUUCUCCAGGAAAAGCUGUGAGAUCACUGCAGGAACCCAAGUAAAGACCAGAUUCUGCCUCUCUGAUGUGCUGAUGGGAUUCUGUGUGACAAGUGAUGAAAUGCAAUGGGACACACAGAAUUGAGCUGCUGUCAAGUCCAUGGUCUGGUUACACAGGGCAGAACAAACACCAGCUGGGACACAAAACGGAACACUCAUCCAAUGACUAACAAAAGCAGAGGGGAGACGAUGUGGAGCUACCAAGGAAAGCACAGGUGAAAAAUCAUGACCUAUGUUUUGUGGCAAGCAGAUGCCAACGCCACCACUGCAAGAUGGAAGCCAUCAGCUUCUGGCCCUUGCCAUUGCACAGUGUGUGAUUGUAUCAACAGCUGGGACACGUGCCGGGGAUGAACGAAGCAAGUUGGAGCCAGAUGAUAACAUUUUUCCACUCUCAGGGAGUGUGUGAUUCUUCUUGAGGAAGAGCCUGUCUGAAACCCCUGGAUUCCAUGGUAGCUCAGCAUAUGACAGACUCAAAUAUAUAGCUGCAGCCCUUAAAGUGUAAUGAGUCCCUACUGUACAGUGAAACAAUUCCAGACAUACAUAUGCGACAUGGGAAGAACCAGGUGCCAAAAAUUUCUCUUCUGUCUGGCCAUAAACUUCAAAAAUAUUCUCUCUAAAAGGUAAAAAUCCAAUGAACUCUAUAACGAAAACUUUUGUUUAUAUACGGUCACAUCCACCAUCUUUAUCUUCAGAAUGUAACCACCCUCAGACAAAAGUUGUGGGGUUUUUAGUUUGGUUUUGUGUUGCUUUGUUUUAAUAAAAAGGGACUUAAAUCCUCCA
rnacentral:lncRNA from 1 species